GUGUGGUCUCCAAUGUCAGUCUGCUACAGCAGCACCACAUCAUCCAUCAUUGUGGGACUGUACGGGAACGACAACAUCCUGGUGUUCAGAGUGGAAUAGUGUGUACAUUCGCUGCUGAGUCAGGACAACGAUGCUGAGGCUGUGGUGGACAAGAAUGACCUGAAUACGCAGAAGGAGAGCACCAGCAUUGGUAUCGAGUUGGCCUAGCAUCAGUACCAGUCCAGCAUGCAGGAGAUCCAGUCAAGGACGACCCUUCCCCUCCCCUGACCACUAACUCCUCACUUUUGACCUGCAGCCUCGAAGGAUCAGCAUCGUUGAACAAUUCUGUUCUGCAGAAAAUUCUCAGCACGUCAAGUUUUCACGGGCUGUUCUCAACAACCGCAAUGUCCUGGUCGAGUUUUCCACACUCAAGCCUGAGUAGUUUUGUUAAAUAUAAGCAGUAGAAAUGGUAAAACUAACAGCCAGUGUGCUUGCUCUGGGACAUCACAAAGAAUAUCACAGAAUACAAAGUUGAAUAACUUGUUCCAUUCAUUAUGGGACCAACAGAAAUUCAGCAAGAAACAGGGCAAAAAAUCAAGGAACAAUUGAAGCAAUUAAUUUAGAAGUGUAGGUUUUCCAAAGUAGAUACUUCUGCUGUUGAUAGUUUUGACAGUAAUAGCGUUACGGACGUCUCGGUUUGUCCUCUCAGGCGUGUAAACUGUCCAAAGAGAACACGCUUCUGACGCUUUUGCUGACGAAGAAUGGCAGUAAUGACUUGGCUGUGAACACCCAGAGCACAAUACAUCCUUGGGGCAUGCCUCAGACGCAAAUUCCGCUCCAGAUUAUAAACAAGGCGCAAAAUGUGAAUAUGUCUAGCUUUGUUACGAGCACUUCCCACUCCGAGCCCAUAGGCCUCGUAUUGAAUCGAGGCUGAGAAGGCAUUGACAAAUGACAGCAGUUGUGUUGUGUGGUCCAGUAUGCCCAUCGACUCUCAACCCGACGUUAAUCAGAACUCAAACUCGGCCCUUAGCAAUAUCAGCUCAGCUCCUUGAGCCUCAGGAGAGAACCAGCAUUGAUAUCGAGUUUGACCAGGAACAGCACCAGUUUGCCUGAAGAAUCCCCAGUCCAGGACGAUCCUUGCCCCCCCUGACCCCUAGCUCCUCCACCCUGACCUCUGGCCUCAAAGGGUCAUCAUAGUUGAAUUCAAGCGCUGUACUCAACAACUGCAAUGUCUGUGUCGAGUUUUCAACACUCAAGACUGAGUAGUUUUGUUGAGCUCGAGUGCCAGAGUGGGACAGACACAAUGAGUUAUAGAAGUAGUUAUGGUAACACUAACAGUCAGUUCUUGCCGUAUGACAUCACAACGAAUAUAACGAAGAAUAAAAAGUUGAUUAAUUUGUUCCAUUCUUUAUGGGACAAACAUAAAUUCAGCGAGGAUCGGGAAAAAAUCAAGGAAAUUUUUACAAUUGAAGCGAUUUAUUCACAUGAGUAAGCUUUCCAAGCAGAAUACUUUUGCUGUCUAUAGUUUGGACAGUAGUAGAUUUACAAACGCGCUUUUGAUGCUGUUGCUGACAAAGAAAGGCAGUAACUACUUCAUUGUGAACACCCAGAGCACGAUACACCCAUGGGGUUUGCCUAAAAUGUGAAUUCCGCCCAAUAUUGUAAACAAGGUGCUAAAAGUAAACACGUCCGGUUUUGUUACGAGCGCUUUGCACUCCAAGCCCAAAGCACAUAGAAUCAACGCCAGAAAAGGCUUAGAAAAUGACAGCAGUUUCGUUGUGUGAUCCAGUAAGGACUCUGAACGACAUUAAUGAGACCUCAAACUUGACCAUAGCACUCACAGCGAGGCCAUCAUGUUAUCUCAGCUUCUUGAGCUUCAGCAAACAUUAUUAGCCAACAAGAUGAAAACAUCAUUGAAGUGAAAGUCAAAGACAAUACUGACUUCCUUCGGGCACAAAUACUACAACUUGCUGAAGAAAUUCAGCACGAAGAUGUCUUGCGUCAGCCUAGCACGCCUCCUAUCAACUCUUCCAACAGCGGAGCCUUGAGCUAGUUCCUAGCAAUCAUAGAUCGGUACCCUGCUGAAAAACAGGAUCUCUGGUCAGCUGGGCCCAGAUGCCCAGCAACACUUCCUGGCCCAGGACCUUGGGGCAAAUGCUCAACAUGUCUUAUCUGCAUGGUGAAGCCAGUCUAAUUCUUGGGCUCCAAACUCUCCUGUUGUGGGGCCGAGAUUACCUCAUCCAUAAGAAUGCAAUGAAUUAUUUGGUUGACAGGGACACAUUACUAGGAUGCGCUAAGGUCCUUUUAUCUGUUCACAGAGGCCUUAUACUCACAAGUUCAGGCCCAACUACAACACAAUCAGUACGUCUCAAUAGAGGACACCCUUCCUGAAAACCUCGCUGAGUGCGACUGCGCCAUACGUGACCCUUCAGUGAAAUGAGAUUCCAGACGGAAUGUCAAACCUGUACUACUCAGGUCUCCAGCAAUAGCCUCAGCCUUGACCGCAGGUUCAUGAUGCAUCCAUGUUCUAACUUAUUUCUGAACAUCUCAAUCUCACAGCAAUUGAUGUGAAUUAAUGAUAAUAAGACUCCACAAACCAAGUUUUGGAGAGGGUAUAUUGGAGUCAAUUUUCUGUUAGUUAUUUUAUAGUCAAAGCGGCAUUUUUUGCAUUUAUUAUAUAAAGGUUUGUAUCAAAUCUAAAUUUCUCAAAGGAUUAAAUUUGAACUUAAAUUGUGUGAAACCGUUGAACAGUAAGUUAUAAGUGGUGAUUUUGUUGCAUGCAAAGCCCCAUCGUUUCAUUGGCCAAGUCACUCUUUUACCCCGUAUUAUUUUACUUUCAGUAUCUCACCAUACAUGGGAAAUCAGAAGUUAUGAAACUUAUAUUCUAAUCAGGGUUUUAACUAACAUUUUGCCCACAGUUGCGCUGUAACCUAUAUGCAAUUCUGGGUUAUAACUAACAUUGUGUCCACAGUUGCGCAAAGUUGUUUGAAUAGUAGUGUCUAAAAACCAAUUAUAUAAGGAAUAGUCACUUGCAUCCCUUGUAAUCAAUCAUGUUCAUGAAGGAGCCAUUGUGAAAUAUUAUGUUGCAUUUUGACAAAUUACCAAGCAUAUGUCUUUUAGCUUAUCUUGUUAAGUGUUUGGCAGUACCAAGCCAUGUCGAAGCAGCAGCAAAAACAAAAGUAGCAGUCUAGUAAGCUGUCUUACACGUUUGAGCUACCUAGUUGUUGCAGCUUUCAGCAACGUUGUCACAAUAUGGAUUGUUUUAAUAAAACCUAAUGGAGUUAUAGAGCAUAAUUACUGAUUCUCGUGUAAGAUCGUACUUUUAUAAUGCACUUUCAUCAACAACACUGAUGCAUAUGCAUGACAUCUAAUACAAGUAUUAAUGCACAAACUAAAGUAUGAAUUUCUUGAUAAUUUAAUUUAUUCGCAAACAUUAGUUUCAAAACAUAAUUAAGCAUAUCGAUAUUUUUUACUUUGCUUUAAUUUAUUGUUUGAUUUUUAUCACUUUGCCUCUCUUUUCCUAACCAGGUCAAGGGUCACCCCGCAAUGUUUAGUGCCUAGCGAUGAAAUCAUCCACUGUUACAUGUAGUUGGUCAGUAAAAUGAGUGUUUUGUCUGCAUAUAAUGUAAAAAGAUUUUAUCAAACAACAUCUACAUUUCUCACAGGAUUAAAUUGAUACUUUAGUUGUUUGAUCCCCAUGAAGUCUUGCUUUGAUUGGUAGAUGGUCAUCUUGUGACAAAGCCCUAAAUUAUCAUUGGCCAAGUCACUUUUGAACAAGAUCAAAUUAAUAACACUGUAUCUCACCACACAUGGGAAUUCAGAGGCUGUGUAACUUAUAUUCUAUUCAGGGUUAAUAACUAACAUUGUGCCCACAGUUGUGUAAAGUUGUGUGAAUACGGUCUGUUGCAAAGUCCACUCAACAUGGAUUGUUUUAAUAAAACAAAUGGAGUUAAAGAACAUAUUUGCUGAUUCCUGUGUAUGAUCUUAAUUGUAUAUAAAACAAUACAUGAACAACACUGACGCAUAUGAAAGG